rnacentral:rRNA from 1 species
GAUGAACGCUGGCGGCGUGCUUAACACAUGCAAGUCGAACGGGAAAUAUUUCAUUGAGACUUCGGUGGAUUUGAUUUAUUUCUAGUGGCGGACGGGUGAGUAACGCGUGGGUAACCUGCCUUAUACAGGGGGAUAACAGUCAGAAAUGGCUGCUAAUACCGCAUAAGCGCACAGAGCUGCAUGGCUCAGUGUGAAAAACUCCGGUUGUAUAAGAUGGACCCGCGUUGGAUUAGCUAGUUGGUGGGGUAACGGCCCACCAAGGCGACGAUCCAUAGCCGGCCUGAGAGGGUGAACCGACACAUUGAGACUGAGCCACGGCCCAGACUCCUACGGGAAGCAGCAGUGGCGAAUAUAGCAAAAUGGGGGAAACCCUGAUGCAGCGACGACGCGUGAAGGAAGAAGUAUCUCGGUAUGUAAACUUCUAUCAGCAGGGACGAUAGUGACGGUACCUGACUAAGAAGCCCCGGCUAACUACGUG